rnacentral:rRNA from 1 species
UGUGAUCAAAUUUCUAAGAGCAAACGGUGGAUGCCUUGGCAUCUGGAGCCGAAGAAGGACGUAGUAAUCUGCGAUAAGCCUCGGGGAGCCGAUAAACGGGCUUUGAUCCGAGGAUUUCCGAAUGGGGAAACCCGGCUGGACUUGAUCCAGUCACUCCCGCCUGAAUAUAUAGGGCGGGUAGAGGGAACGCGGGGAAGUGAAACAUCUCAGUACCCGCAGGAAGAGAAAACAACCGUGAUUCCGUUAGUAGUGGCGAGCGAACGCGGAAGAGGCUAAACCGGUCGUGUGUGAUACCUGGUAGGGGUUGCACGGUCGGGGUUGUGGGACUUUUCUGUCGCGCUACCGAGCGACAAGCGUUACAGCGCAGCGUAGACGAAUCGCUUUGAAUGGCGAACCAUAGGGGGUGCGAGUCCCGUAGUUGAAACGUUGUUAUGGCGCGAAGAGUAUCCCAAGUAGCACGGAGCCCGUGAAACUCUGUGUGAAUCUGUCGGGACCACCCGAUAAGCCUAAAUACUCCCAGAUGACCGAUAGCGGACUAGUACCGUGAGGGAAAGGUGAAAAGUACCCCGGGAGGGGAGUGAAAUAGUACCUGAAACCGUUUGCUUACAAUCCGUCGGAGCCUUUCGGGGUGACGGCGUGCCUUUUGAAGAAUGAGCCUGCGAGUUAGUGAUAUGUGGCGAGGUUAACCCGUGUGGGGAAGCCGUAGCGAAAGCGAGUCUGAAUAGGGCGUUGAGUCGCAUGUCCUAGACCCGAAGCGAAGUGAUCUAUCCAUGGCCAGGUUGAAGCGAGGGUAAGACCUCGUGGAGGACCGAACCCACCUAGGUUGAAAACUGGGGGGAUGAGCUGUGGUUAGGGGUGAAAGGCCAAUCAAACUUCGUGAUAGCUGGUUCUCUCCGAAAUGCAUUUAGGUGCAGCGUUGCGUGUUUCUUGCCGGAGGUAGAGCUACUGGAUGGCCGAUGGGCCUCAACAGGUUACUGACGUCAGCCAAACUCCGAAUGCCGGUAAGUGAGAGCGCAGCAGUGAGACUGUGGGGGAUAAGCUUCAUAGUCGAGAGGGAAACAACCCAGACCACCAAUUAAGGUCCCUAAGCGUGUGCUAAGUGGAAAAGGAUGUGGAGUUGCAGUGACAACCAGGAGGUUGGCUUAGAAGCAGCCACCCUUGAAAGAGUGCGUAAUAGCUCACUGGUCAAGUGAUUCCGCGCCGACAAUGUAACGGGGCUCAAGCACACCACCGAAAUUGUGGAAUUCCUUUUUGGGAUUGGUAGGAGAGCGUCGUGUGGCGAGUGAAGCGGCGGUGGAAACCAGUCGUGGAUGCUACACGAGUGAGAAUGCAGGCAUGAGUAGCGAAAGACUGGUGAGAAACCAGUCCUCCGGAAGACCAAGGGUUCCAGGGUCAAGCUAAUCUUCCCUGGGUAAGUCGGGACCUAAGGCGAGGCCGACAGGCGUAGUCGAUGGACAACGGGUUGAUAUUCCCGUACCGGCGAAGAACCGUCCAAUCUGACCCAGUGAUGCUAAGAGCCCGAAUCCGGCUCCGUUCCUUCGGGAGCGUUGUCGGGCUAGCGUUCGAACCUAUGCUGGUGAGGGUAGCGUGUUAACAGGUGUGACGCAGAAAGGUAGCCAAUCCGGGUGAAUGGUUGUAUCCGGGCAAGGAUGUAGGGCGAGUGAUAGGCAAAUCCGUCACUCAUAUAGCCUGAGAUCUGACGCGGAAGUCCCUUUGGGACGUAGUUGGUGAUCCUCUGCUGCCAAGAAAAGCAUCGACGCGAGGUUCUAGCUGCCCGUACCCCAAACCGACACAGGUGGUCAGGUAGAGAAUACCAAGGAGAUCGAGAGAAUCGUGGUGAAGGAACUCGGCAAAAUGCCCCCGUAACUUCGGGAGAAGGGGGGCCCAGCGCGUAUAGGACUUGCUCCGAAAGCGUGUGUGGGCCGCAGAGACUAGUGGGACGCGACUGUUUAUCAAAAACACAGGUCCGUGCGAAGUUGCAAGACGAUGUAUACGGACUGACGCCUGCCCGGUGCUGGAAGGUUAAGAGGAAGUGUUAGCUUUGGCAAAGCACAGAAUUUAAGCCCCAGUAAACGGCGGUGGUAACUAUAACCAUCCUAAGGUAGCGAAAUUCCUUGUCGGGUAAGUUCCGACCUGCACGAAUGGCGUAACGACUUCCCAGCUGUCUCCACCGCGAACUCGGCGAAAUUGCAUUACGAGUAAAGAUGCUCGUUACGCGCAGCAGGACGAAAAGACCCCGUGACCUUUACUAUAGCUUGGUAUUGGUGAUUGGUGUGGCUUGUGUAGGAUAGGUGGGAGACUGUGAAGCUGGCACGCUAGUGUUGGUGGAGUCGUUGUUGAAAUACCACUCUGGUCAUUCUGAUUAUCUAACUUCGAACCGUGAUCCGGUUCAGGAACAGUGCCUGGUGGGUAGUUUAACUGGGGCGGUUGCCUCCUAAAGAGUAACGGAGGCGCCCAAAGGUUCCCUCAGUCUGGUUGGCAAUCAGAUUUUGAGUGUAAGUGCACAAGGGAGCUUGACUGUGACACUGACAGGUGGAGCAGGGACGAAAGUCGGGACUAGUGAUCCGGCAGUGGCUUGUGGAAGCGCUGUCGCUCAACGGAUAAAAGGUACCUCGGGGAUAACAGGCUGAUCUUGCCCAAGAGUCCAUAUCGACGGCAUGGUUUGGCACCUCGAUGUCGGCUCGUCGCAUCCUGGGGCUGGAGUAGGUCCCAAGGGUUGGGCUGUUCGCCCAUUAAAGCGGUACGCGAGCUGGGUUCAGAACGUCGUGAGACAGUUCGGUCUCUAUCCGCUGCGCGCGUUGGAAGUUUGAGAAGAUCUAUCCUUAGUACGAGAGGACCGGGAUGGACGAACCUCUGGUGUGUCAGUUGUUCUGCCAAGGGCACGGCUGAUUGGCUACGUUCGGAACGGAUAACCGCUGAAAGCAUCUAAGCGGGAAGCCGGCUUCAAGAUGAGACUUCCGUCCCCUUUUUGGGGGUGAGGCUCCCAGUAGAUGACUGGGUUGAUAGGCCGGAUGUGGAAGCGCAGUAAUGUGUGGAGCUGACCGGUACUAAUAUGCCGAUGAUUUGAUUAC